GUGGGGAAUAUUGCGCAAUGGACGAAAGUCUGACGCAGCGACGCCGCGUGAGGGACGAAGGUCUUCGGAUCGUAAACCUCUGUCAGAAGGGAAGAAGUGUAUGAGUAGUAACUGACCUGUACUUGACGGUACCUUCAGAGGAAGCACCGGCUAACUCCGUGCCAGCAGCCGCGGUAAUACGGAGGGUGCGAGCGUUAAUCGGAAUUACUGGGCGUAAAGCGCGCGUAGGCGGCUUUGUAAGUCAGGGGUGAAAUCCCACGGCUCAACCGUGGCAUUGCCUUUGAUACUGCAGAGCUUGAGUUCGGGAGAGGGUGGUGGAAUUCCAGGUGUAGGAGUGAAAUCCGUAGAGAUCUGGAGGAACAUCAGUGGCGAAGGCGACCACCUGGCCCGAUACUGACGCUGAGGUGCGAAAGCGUGGGUAGCAAACAGGAUUAGAAACCCGUGUAGUCC
rnacentral:rRNA from 1 species